rnacentral:miRNA from 1 species
UGAGGCAGGAGAAUUGCUUGAACCCAGGAGGUGGAGGCUGCAGUGAGCCAAGAUCGUGCCACUGUACUCCAGCCUGGGUGACAGAGUGAGACUCUAUCUCA